GUUCAUACGUGUAGUAGCUGCGCCCAACACCUGACUUGACAGACAGAUCCGGUCAAGAAUGAAGACCAUCAAGGCCAUUCUUCGGACUGUGUUUGCAUUAUUUAUGCUAGUGGUUAUUGUACAGAACGCGUCCAUGCGUGCUCGAGCAGGCCUGUGUCCACAUCCGCUUUUGGCGCAGCGAAAUGUGUCUUUAAGAUGUAUAUCCGACUGUGCGAACGAUUAUCAUUGCAAGCCAUAUCAGAAAUGCUGUACCUACGGCUACUGCGCAAGUUGUACAGACAUUAUUCCAAAGUGUGGUGCUCACGUGGACCGUACGUCACAUCCGCCAGGAGCUGGCAAGUGUUUCUCUCAGUGUGACCUUGACAACCCGUGCCCGCUAGGCGAGGCCUGUUGUAGGGAUGGAUGUAAAAGUUAUUGCUACGGACCAUUUAAAUAUUAUUUACAACCAACAAUAAAUGAUUAAA